rnacentral:lncRNA from 1 species
AAAAAUAGAAUGAAAUAAGUGACAAAAAUAAAAUCACACAAUAAAUAAGAACAAAUAUCUAAGGUAUGACAAUUAAAUAAAAAUAAUUUAGUUAAUUAAUCAAAUUAAUAAAAAACAAUUAACAAAGAAUUAAUUAAAUAUCAACUUAACUAAUCAAUCAAAUUAUAAUCCAUCAAAUUAAUUAAUAUUGAUUAAAAUAAUUAAUUAUUUAAAC